rnacentral:rRNA from 1 species
GAGUUUGAUCGUGGCUCAGAGUGAACGCUGGCGGUAGGCCUAACACAUGCAAGUCGAACGGCAGCACAGUAAGAGCUUGCUCUUAUGGGUGGCGAGUGGCGGACGGGUGAGGAAUACAUCGGAAUCUACUUUUUCGUGGGGAUAACGUAGGGAAACUUACGCUAAUACCGCAUACGACCUACGGGUGAAAGCAGGGGAUCUUCGGACCUUGCGCGAUUGAAUGAGCCGAUGUCGGAUUAGCUAGUUGGCGGGUAAAGGCCCACCAAGGCGACGAUCCGUAGCUGGUCUGAGAGGAUGAUCAGCCACACUGGAACUGAGACACGGUCCAGACUCCUACGGGAGGCAGCAGUGGGGAAUAUUGGACAAUGGGCGCAAGCCUGAUCCAGCCAUACCGCGUGGGUGAAGAAGGCCUCGGUUGUAAG